AGAGUUUGAUCAUGGCUCAGGAUGAACGCUAGCGGCAGGCUUAAUACAUGCAAGUCGAGGGGCAGCACGGGUAGCAAUACCUGGUGGCGACCGGCAAACGGGUGCGGAACACGUACGCAACCUUCCCAUAACUGGUGAAUAGCCUUCCGAAAGGGAGAUUAAUACACCGUAACAUAACGAAAAGGCAUCUUUUGUUAUUAUAGGCUUCGGCCGGUUUUGGAUGGGCGUGCGCCUGAUUAGGUAGUUGGGCGGGGUAACGGCCCACCAAGCCUGCGAUCAGUAACUGGUGUGAGAGCACGACCAGUCACACGGGCACUGAGACACGGGCCCGACUCCUACGGGAGGCAGCAGUAAGGAAUAUUGGUCAAUGGACGAAAGUCUGAACCAGCCAUGCCGCGUGAAGGAUUAAGGCCCUCUGGGUUGUAAACUUCUUUAUCUGGGACGAAAAAGGGCUUUCUAGCUCACUUGACGGUACCAGAGGAAUAAGCACCGGCUAACUCCGUG
rnacentral:rRNA from 1 species